AAGCAAGUUUUUAAGGGCAUACGGUGAAUGCCUUGGCACCAGGAGCCGAUGAAGGACGUAGGAGGCUGCGAAAAGCCUAGGGGAGCUGCCAACCGAGCUGAGAUCCUAGGGUGUCCGAAUGGGGAAACCCGGCCUCAGUCAUGUGGGGUCACCCAUACCUGAACACAUAGGGUAUGUGGAGGGAACGCGGGGAAGUGAAACAUCUCAGUACCCGCAGGAAGAGAAAACAACCGUGAUUCCGUGAGUAGUGGCGAGCGAAAGCGGAUGAGGCUAAACCGGUUAUGUGUGAUACCCGGCAGGGGUUGCAUGAUCGGGGUCGUGGGACCUAUCCGAAUGUUCUGCCGGACAUUCGAGGAGUAAGAAAACACUGUGGUUAGCGGAACGUGUCUGGAAAGCGCGAGCGUAGAGGGUGAGACUCCCGUACGCGAAAACCCGGUGUCUCCUGAUGGUGUUCCCAAGUAGCAGCGUACUCGUGAAAUUCGCUGUGAAUCUGGCGGGACCACCCGCUAAGCCUAAAUACUCCCUGGUGACCGAUAGCGGACUAGUACCGUGAGGGAAAGGUGAAAAGUACCCCGGGAGGGGAGUGAAAUAGUACCUGAAACCGUGUGCCUACAAUCCGUCGGAGCUUUUCGGAGUGACGGCGUGCCUUUUGAAGAAUGAGCCUGCGAGUUAGUGCUACGUGGCGAGGUUAACCCGUGUGGGGUAGCCGUAGCGAAAGCGAGUCCGAAUAGGGCGUUCUUAGUCGCGUGGUCUAGACCCGAAGCGGAGUGAUCUAGCCAUGGCCAGGGUGAAGCGCGGGUAAGACCGUGUGGAGGCCCGAACCCACCAGGGUUGAAAACCUGGGGGAUGAGCUGUGGUUAGGGGUGAAAGGCCAAUCAAACUCCGUGAUAGCUGGUUCUCCCCGAAAUGCAUUUAGGUGCAGCGUCGCAUGUUUCUCGCCGGAGGUAGAGCACUGGAUGGUCUAGGGGGCCCACAAGCUUACCGAAAUCAACCAAACUCCGAAUGCCGGUGAGUGAGAGUGCGGCAGUGAGACUGCGGGCGAUAAGGUUCGUAGUCGAGAGGGAAACAGCCCAGAACACCAGCUAAGGCCCCUAAGUGUGUGCUAAGUGGGAAAGGAUGUGGGGUCGCCCAGACAACCAGGAGGUUGGCUUAGAAGCAGCCACCCUUUAAAGAGUGCGUAAUAGCUCACUGGUCAAGUGGUCCUGCGCCGACAAUGUAGCGGGGCUUAAGCACACCGCCGAAGCUGUGUCAUUCACACAUAUGAUCCGUGUCGACUUGAUCGGCACGCAGUCGUGUGGAUGGGUAGGGGAGCGUCGUAUAGCCAGUGAAGCGCCGGAGUGAUCCAGGUGUGGAGGCUAUGCGAGUGAGAAUGCAGGCAUGAGUAGCGAAAGGGGAGUGAGAAACUCCCCCGCCGGAUGACCAAGGGUUCCUGGGCCAGGCUAAUCCGCCCAGGGUAAGUCGGGACCUAAGGCGAGGCCGACAGGCGUAGUCGAUGGACAACGGGUUGAUAUUCCCGUACCCGUGUGAACGCGCCCAUGGCGAACCUUGUGAUGCUAACCGCCCAAAGCUGUGACAUCGCCCUUCGGGGCACCGUUGCGGUGGAGCGCGGGACCCGAACUUGUAGUAGUCAAGCGAUGGGGUGACGCAGGAGGGUAGCUCCGCCAGUGAGUGGUAGUACUGGUGUAAGCGUGUAGGCCGUUUGGUAGGCAAAUCCGCCAAGCACAUAGGCUGAGACGUGAUGCAUAGCCGAUUGAGGCGAAGUAGAGUGAUCCCAUGCUGCCGAGAAAAGCCUCUAGUGAGUGUUCAUGCGGCCCGUACCCCAAACCGACACAGGUGGUCAGGUAGAGAAUACCGAGGCGAUCGGGCGAACUGUGGUUAAGGAACUCGGCAAAAUCCCCCCGUAACUUCGGGAGAAGGGGGGCCGUAGCGCUUGAAGCCCCUUUGCGGGCUAGGGCGAGACGGCCGCAGAGACCAGCGAGAAGCGACUGUUUACUAAAAACACAGGUCCGUGCGAAGUCGCAAGACGAUGUAUACGGACUGACGCCUGCCCGGUGCUGGAACGUUAAGGGGACCGGUUAGUCCGCAAGGGCGAAGCUGAGAACUUAAGCGCCAGUAAACGGCGGUGGUAACUAUAACCAUCCUAAGGUAGCGAAAUUCCUUGUCGGGUAAGUUCCGACCUGCACGAAUGGCGUAACGACUUCUCGACUGUCUCAACCGCAGGCCCGGCGAAAUUGCAUUACGAGUAAAGAUGCUCGUUACGCGCGGCAGGACGGAAAGACCCCGGGACCUUUACUAUAGCUUGGUAUUGGUGUUCGGUUCGGCUUGUGUAGGAUAGGUGGGAGACUGUGAAGCGGCCACGCCAGUGGUUGUGGAGUCAUCGUUGAAAUACCACUCUGGUCGUACUGGAUGUCUAACCUCGGUCCGUGAUCCGGAUCAGGGACAGUGCCUGGUGGGUAGUUUAACUGGGGCGGUUGCCUCCCAAAGGGUAACGGAGGCGCUCAAAGGUUCCCUCAGCCUGGUUGGCAAUCAGGUGUCGAGUGCAAGUGCACAAGGGGGCUUGACUGUGAGACAGACAUGUCGAGCAGGGACGAAAGUCGGAACUAGUGAUCCGGCGCUGGCUGGUGGAAGCGGCGUCGCUCAACGGAUAAAAGGUACCCCGGGGAUAACAGGCUGAUCUUGCCCAAGAGUCCAUAUCGACGGCAUGGUUUGGCACCUCGAUGUCGGCUCGUCGCAUCCUGGGGCUGGAGUAGGUCCCAAGGGUUGGGCUGUUCGCCCAUUAAAGCGGUACGCGAGCUGGGUUUAGAACGUCGUGAGACAGUUCGGUCCCUAUCCGCCGCGCGCGUAGGAUACUUGAGGAAGGCUGUCCCUAGUACGAGAGGACCGGGAUGGACGAACCUCUGGUGUGCCAGUUGUUCUGCCAAGGGCAUUGCUGGUUGGCUACGUUCGGAAGGGAUAACCGCUGAAAGCAUCUAAGCGGGAAGCCUGUUCCAAGAUGAGGUAUCCCACCCCUUUGAGGGUUAAGGCCCCCAGCUAGACCACUGGGUUGAUAGGCCGGAGAUGGAAGCCUAGUAAUGGGUGGAGUUGACCGGUACUAAUAGGCCGAGGACUUGUUUUC
rnacentral:rRNA from 1 species